UACGGAGGGUGCGAGCGUUGUCCGGAAUUACUGGGCGUAAAGGGCUCGUAGGCGGCCAACUAAGUCGGACGUGAAAUCCCCAGGCUCAACCUGGGAACUGCGUCCGAUACUGGAUGGCUUGAAUUCGGGAGAGGGAUGCAGAAUUCCAGGUGUAGCGGUGAAAUGCGUAGAUAUCUGGAGGAAUACCGGUGGCGAAGGCGGCAUCCUGGACCGACAUUGACGCUGAUGAGCGAAAGCUAGGUGAGCAAACGGG
rnacentral:rRNA from 1 species